rnacentral:misc_RNA from 1 species
GAAGAAACUAACAUAGUUCUAUGGGAAGUCCUCGACUGGAGCGGUCCUCUGGUAGGGCAAGACUCGCUGGUGACUUUAUUCAAAUUGAGGGCAGGAAUGAACCGAAUUAUAUAUUAAAAUGGGGGAAACUAAUUAUUAGAGGUAUAUUUUGGUGGAAUGGCCUGGAAAGUUAGAAGAAUUCUGAAGUUAAGUGUGUUCACUUGAGUGAAAUCCUAUGAUGGGUGAUCUUCCGAGAAGUUUUUCGUUCACCAAUGAGACAAAACUGUGAAACUCAGGAUGGAGUGGGCCCAAACGAACAAUUCCUCUAAUUGUUGAAGUAAAGUGGGAAUAAAGUUAUUGGAGUAAAGGCAUUACAAUUUAUGAUUUUAUGUGUCAUUUUUAACUAUAAUUGUUAUUUUUCUUUAUUAGUGGACAUAUUUUUAUUUUCUUAUGUAAGCUAUUCAAGAUUUUUUUUUUCUUUUUAAUAUUGGAUGCUUAAUAUGUAUCACUGUUUGUCUUUCCAGCUGACAAUUCAUAAUCAUCCAUUAAAGCACAUAUGGUUUUUUGAAUUGUUAGUAUAUGCCCUGCAAUUGCUUGUUAUGGCAACUUACGGAUAUUUAAGAAACUUUUUCCCAUAUGACUCUCUUAGCAUUUCCUGGUUCUAGUUUGCAGGCAUUUAUUUGUUAUCUCUUUUUGUCAUAUAUUCACAUGCCAGGCAUUUCAGCUUAAGGAUGCCUGAUGUUUGGUGGCUACUGCCUAACCUGCCUUCUCCCAAUUUUUUCUGAUGCAGCAUGUUGCUAAAUAUUUGAUCAUGUGCCUUAGUGAUCUUCUUGUCUUCAGAUAUUAUAACCAUAUUGUUUAAUAGUUCUGAGAGUAACA